rnacentral:rRNA from 1 species
UACGAGGGGGGCUAGCGUUGUUCGGAAUUACUGGGCGUAAAGCGCGUGUAGGCGGGCCAUUAAGUCGGGGGUGAAAGCCCAGAGCUCAACUCUGGAAUUGCCUUCGAUACUGGCGGUCUGGAGCAUGAUAGAGGCGAGUGGAAUUGCGAGUGUAGAGGUGAAAUUCGUAGAUAUUCGCAGGAACACCAGUGGCGAAGGCGACUCGCUGGAUCAUUGCUGACGCUGAGACGCGAAAGCGUGGGGAGCAAACAGG